rnacentral:tRNA from 1 species
UGGGAUAUAGCUCAGAUGGUAGAGUGCUUGCCUCACAUGCAGAAGGUCCUAGGGUUCAAUCCCCAAUAUCACAA